rnacentral:rRNA from 1 species
GGGGCAUGCGGCAGCUACACAUGCAGUCGAGCGAGAACUUCGGUUCUAGCGGCGGACGGGUUAGUAACGCGUGGGAACGUGCCCUUCACUACGGAAUAGUCCCGGGAAACUGGGUUUAAUACCGUAUACGCCCUUCGGGGGAAAGAAUUUCGGUGAAGGAUCGGCCCGCGUUAGAUUAGAUAGUUGGUGGGGUAACGGCCUACCAAGUCUACGAUCUAUAGCUGGUUUUAGAGGAUGAUCAGCAACACUGGGACUGAGACACGGCCCAGACUCCUACGGGAGGCAGCAGUGGGGAAUCUUAGACAAUGGGCGCAAGCCUGAUCUAGCCAUGCCGCGUGAGUGAUGAAGGCCUUAGGGUCGUAAAGCUCUUUCGCCAGGGAUGAUAAUGACAGUACCUGGUAAAGAAACCCCGGCUAACUCCGUGCCAGCAGCCGCGGUAAUACGGAGGGGGUUAGCGUUGUUCGGAAUUACUGGGCGUAAAGCGCGCGUAGGCGGAUUGGAAAGUUGGGGGUGAAAUCCCAGGGCUCAACCCUGGAACUGCCUCCAAAACUAUCAGUCUAGAGUUCGAGAGAGGUGAGUGGAACUCCGAGUGUAGAGGUGAAAUUCGUAGAUAUUCGGAAGAACACCAGUGGCGAAGGCGGCUCACUGGCUCGAUACUGACGCUGAGGUGCGAAAGUGUGGGGAGCAAACAGGAUUAGAUACCCUGGUAG